rnacentral:rRNA from 1 species
ACGCUCGACACCUACUGGAGGCAGCAGUGGGGAAUAUUGCACAAUGGGGGAAACCCUGAUGCAGCGACGCCGCGUGGAGGAAGAAGGUCUUCGGAUUGUAAACUCCUGUUGUUGGGGAAAAAGAGGAUGGUACCCAACAAGGAAGUGACGGCUAACUACGUGCCAUCAGCCGCGGUAAUCUGAGCGGGCUGGCAAGGC